rnacentral:lncRNA from 1 species
UACAAUUAAACCUUUACAACCAGACUCAAACCUUAGCCCACCUAAACCAACCCUUACCCACUAGCCCAAUACAAAUCAAACCCAAUACCUAACCCUAAGCCCAAUCAACCCAAAAUCAAAACAAAAACAGAAACCCUAGCCACCUAUCCCCUUCCUACUUGCGCCGCAACCACCUUCUAACACCACGCCACCGACGUCAGCCCACCAGCCACCAACUCUACAGCACCGUUCAACCACCCUGCAAGCAAGAAAGAAGACAAGACAGAUAUAAUAGAAAAUAGGUGCAAAAGGGUUAUAAAAACCCAAAUAAAAAACUUGUAAACUCUCUCUCUCGGCAGUUCAAAAAAUACACAAAAGAUAAUAAUACAAAAAUAGCAUUUGACGCACAACCAAGGUCAGAAAAUCAAAGAUAUCAAAAAUCAAAAACUAGAGAACUUAAGGUGAUUUUUUUUCUUUUUUUCAUUUUAGUUUAGGUCUUAGGCCUAUUUUAUACAUAUAUAUACUAAAAAUAUAAUAAAAUAAUAAAAUAAAUAACAACAAAAAAAGGAAAAUUUUUACCUUUUUUUAAAAAUCCGGCCACCGCACACGGUGGCCGACGCCGGCGACGGAUGACGGCCGGUGAGGGUCCGGUGACCUGCUUCCCCACCGGAUUCUCUCCCAUUUUCUCUCUUCUUUUUU